rnacentral:rRNA from 1 species
GGAGGCUUUGAAGUGUGGACGCCAGUCUGCAUGGAGCCGACCUUGAAAUACCACCCUUUAAUGUUUGAUGUUCUAACGUUGACCCGUAAUCCGGGUUGCGGACAGUGUCUGGUGGGUAGUUUGACUGGGGCGGUCUCCUCCUAAAGAGUAACGGAGGAGCACGAAGGUUGGCUAAUCCUGGUCGGACAUCAGGAGGUUAGUGCAAUGGCAUAAGCCAGCUUGACUGCGAGCGUGACGGCGCGAGCAGGUGCGAAAGCAGGUCAUAGUGAUCCGGUGGUUCUGAAUGGAAGGGCCAUCGCUCAACGGAUAAAAGGUACUCCGGGGAUAACAGGCUGAUACCGCCCAAGAGUUCAUAUCGACGGCGGUGUUUGGCACCUCGAUGUCGGCUCAUCACAUCCUGGGGCUGAAGUAGGUCCCAAGGGUAUGGCUGUUCGCCAUUUAAAGUGGUACGCGAGCUGGGUUUAGAACGUCGUGAGACAGUUCGGUCCCUAUCUGCCGUGGGCGCUGGAGAACUGAGGGGGGCUGCUCCUAGUACGAGAGGACCGGAGUGGACGCAUCACUGGUGUUCGGGUUGUCAUGCCAAUGGCACUGCCCGGUAGCUAAAUGCGGAAGAGAUAAGUGCUGAAAGCAUCUAAGCACGAAACUUGCCCCGAGAUGAGUUCUCCCUGACUCCUUGAGAGUCCUGAAGGAACGUUGAAGACGACGACGUUGAUAGGCCGGGUGUGUAAGCGCAGCGAUGCGUUGAGCUAACCGGUACUAAUGAACCGUGAGG